rnacentral:rRNA from 1 species
CCUACGGGUGGCAGCAGUGAGGAAUAUUGGUCAAUGGCCGAGAGUCUGAACCAGCCAAGUCGCGUGCAGGAAGACGGCCCUACGAGUUGUAAACUGCUUUUGUCCGGGGGUAAAUGGCGGUACGUGUAACUCUUUGAGAGUACCCUACGAAUAAGGAUCGGCUAACUCCGUGCCAGCAGCCGCGGUAAUACGGAGGAUCCAAGCGUUAUCCGGAUUUAUUGGGUUUAAAGGGUGCGUAGGCGGUUUUAUAAGUUAGGGGGGAAAUCUCGGGGCUCAACUCCGGAAUUGCCUUUAAUACUGCAGGACUAGAGAGUGGUUGAAGUAGGCGGAAUGUGUGGUGUAGCGGUGAAAUGCAUAGAGAUCAUACAGAACACCGAUUGCGAAGGCAGCAUACCAAAGUGUAUCUGACGUUGAGGCACGAAAGCGUGGGGAGCGAACAGGAUUAGAUACCCGAGUAGUC